UACGUAGGGGGCGAGCGUUGUCCGGAAUUAUUGGGCGUAAAGAGCGUGUAGGCGGCUUCACAAGUCAGCUGUGAAAACUCGAGGCUCAACCUCGAGCUGUCGGUGGAAACUGUGUGGCUAGAGUCCGGAAGAGGAGAGUGGAAUUCCCGGUGUAGCGGUGAAAUGCGCAGAUAUCGGGAAGAACACCCGUGGCGAAGGCGGCUCUCUGGGACGGUACUGACGCUUAGACGCGAAAGCGUGGGGAGCGAACGGG
rnacentral:rRNA from 1 species